rnacentral:rRNA from 1 species
UGGGGAAUUUUGGACAAUGGGCGAAAGCCUGAUCCAGCAAUGCCGCGUGUGUGAAGAAGGCCUUCGGGUUGUAAAGCACUUUUGUCCGGAAAGAAAUCCUUGGCUCUAAUACAGUCGGGGGAUGACGGUACCGGAAGAAUAAGCACCGGCUAACUACGUGCCAGUAGCCGCGGUAAUACGUAGGGUGCAAGCGUUAAUCGGAAUUACUGGGCGUAAAGCGUGCGCAGGCGGUUUGCUAAGACCGAUGUGAAAUCCCCGGGCUCAACCUGGGAACUGCAUUGGUGACUGGCAGGCUAGAGUAUGGCAGAGGGGGGUAGAAUUCCACGUGUAGCAGUGAAAUGCGUAGAGAUGUGGAGGAAUACCGAUGGCGAAGGCAGCCCCCUGGGCCAAUACUGACGCUCAUGCACGAAAAGCGUGGGGAGCAAAACAGGAUUAGAUACCCUGGUAGUCCACGCCCUAAAACGAUGUCAACUAGUUGUUGGGGAUUCAUUUCCUUAGUAACGUAGCUAACGCGUGAAGUUGACCGCCUGGGGAGUACGGUCGCAAGAUUAAAAACUUAAAGGAAUUGACGGGGUCAUAGCUGUUUCCU